GAGGAUUAUACUGUCUCCCCCCCUAAAUCAAUGAAACUGAUCCCCCCGUGAAGAAGCGGGGAUAAAUAUAUAAGACGAGAAGACCCUAUGGAGCUUUAAACUCAACACCACCUACCUCAACCAACUCCCUCACAAACAGGUAGAGAUCGUGUAUGUUUUCAGUUGGGGUGACUGCGGAGCAAAAUAAAACCUCCACGAUGAAAAAUAACCUCUAAUCCAAGAACAACAUUUCAAAGAAUCAACAAAUUGACAUCAAUUGACCCAAAUAAUAAUUUGAUCAACGAACCAAGUUACCCUAGGGAUAACAGCGCAAUCCAUUUCAAGAGCUCAUAUCGACAAAUG
rnacentral:rRNA from 1 species